AUUGAACGCUGGCGGCAGGCCUAACACAUGCAAGUCGAGCGGAUAAAGGGAGCUUGCUCCUGGAUUCAGCGGCGGACGGGUGAGUAAUGCCUAGGAAUCUGCCUUGUAGUUGGGGAUAACGUCCGUAAACGGGCGCUAAUACCGCAUACGUCCUGAGGGAGAAAGUGGGGGAUCUUCGGACCUCACGCUAUCAGAUGAGCCUAGGUCGGAUUAGCUAGUUGGUGGGGUAAAGGCCUACCAAGGCGACGAUCCGUAACUGGUCUGAGAGGAUGAUCAGUCACACUGGAACUGAGACACGGUCCAGACUCCUACGGGAGGCAGCAGUGGGGAAUAUUGGACAAUGGGCGAAAGCCUGAUCCAGCCAUGCCGCGUGUGUGAAGAAGGUCUUCGGAUUGUAAAGCACUUUAAGUUGGGAGGAAGGGCAGUAAGUUAAUACCUUGCUGUUUUGACGUUACCAACAGAAUAAGCACCGGCUAACUUCGUG
rnacentral:rRNA from 1 species